UCCAUGUGUGACAGUGUCAGGUGGGUCCAGGUGAGACAGUGCAGGUGGGUCCAGGUGAGACAGAGUGUCAGGUGGGUCCAGGUGUAACAGAGUGUCAGGUGGGUCCAGGUGUAACAGAGAGUCAGAUGGGUCCAGGUGUGACAGUGUCAGACGGGUCCAGGUGAGACAGAGCCAGGUGGGUCCAGGUGUAAUAGAGUGUCAGGUGGGUCCAGGUGAGACAGUGUCAGGUGGGUCCAGGUGAGACAGUGUCAGACAGGUCGAGGUGUGACAGUGUCAGGUGGGUCCAGGUGUGACUGAGUAUCAAUCAGAUGGGUCCAGGUGUGACAGUGUCAGGUGGGUCCAGGUGAGACAGUGUCAGACAGGUCCAGGUGUAACAGAGUGUCAGACGGGUCCAGGUGUGACAGAGUAUCACAUGGGUCCAGGUGUAACAGUGUCAGGUGGGUCCAGGUGUGACAGUGUUAGACAGGUCCAGGUGAGACAGUGUCAGGUGGGUCCAGGUGAGACAGUGUCAGAUAGGUCCAGGUGUAACAGAGUGUCAGACGGGUUCAGGUGUAACAGUGUCAGACAGGUCCAGGUGAGACAGUGUCAGGUGGGUCCAGGUGAGACAGUGUCAGGUGGGUCCAGGUGUGACAGAGUUUCAGACGGAUCCAGGUGUAACAGUGUCAGACAGGUCCAGGUGAGACAGUGUUAGAUGGGUCCAGGUGUGAGACAGUGUCAGAUGGGUCCAGGUGUAACAGUGUCAGAUCAUUGUCCAGGUGUGACAGAGUGUCAGAUGGGUCUAGGUGAGACAGAGUGUCAGACAGGUCCAGGUGAGACAGUGUCAGACGGGUCCAGGUGUGACAGAGUGUCAGACGGAUCCAGGUGUGACAGAGUGUCAGAUCAGGGUCCAGGUGUGACAGUGUCAGGUGGGUCCAGGUGAGACAGUGUCAGGUGGGUCCAGGUGUGACAGUGUCAGAUGGGUCCAGGUGAGACAGUGUCAGGUGGGUCCAGGUGAGACAGUGUCAGGUGGGUCCAGGUGAGACAGUGUCAGGUGGGUCCAGGUGUGACAGAGUUUCAGACAGAUCCAGGUGUGACAGAGUGUCAGAUCAGGGUCCAGGUGAGACAGUGUCAGGUGGGUCCAGGUGUGACAGAGUGUCAGAAGGAUCCAGGUGUGACAGUGUCAGAUCAGGGUCCAGGUGUGACAGUGUCAUGUGGGUCCAGGUGAGACAGAGUGUCAGAUGCCUCCAUGUACAGAGGCCCUCGGCCCAGCUUGGACGCCUGCGGGCGCAGGAUUAGCGGCCUCCCAUCUGUCACGAGCUUUAGCGGGAGCUUAAGGAGAUGACACGCUAAGUCGAGGCCGCAGGGGCGUGUGACCAGGUCUGGGCCUAGGUCUCGGCGUGGCCACCCUGUGGCAUCCCCUGUGGCGUCCCCCGUGGCCUCCCCCAUGGCUGGGGUGCUGGGUGCUUCCCGCUGGGCCGGGUCACAGGGCCGCAGAGGCUUCCUGUUUCUGGCUCAUUCAUGGUGACAAGGUGCUUCCGGGACAGUGCACAGGCCCGAGUCACCGUCCUGUCAGUCGGCCUGGGACAGUGCCUGUGUCUGUCCUGAGGGCCUCACCCAAGGGAUGGGGGCGUCCUGCUCCCCCAGCCCGGCCGCCUCGCCACCCCCUGCUCUAAGCCCCCCCAGACUGGCCUGGUGUCCCUCACCCUGAACCCCGCCAGCAGCACCGCCCUCAUAGCAAGGAGCCCCAGGCGGGGGGCCGGGUGGGGGUCUUGGGGUGUGGAGGGCCGAGGGGGGCUGGCAGCCAUUGCCUCCCCUCACUCCUCGUUUUCCUGGUGAGGGCCGGGGGGUGACUUUCCUCCUCUCAGCAUGUGUGUCCUGUGUGCACACACGUGCCCUCUGCAUACUGUGUUUGGGGGUCUUGUGCACAUGUGUGCUUAGCAUGCUCGUGUUCCGUGCACUCGUGCUGGGCACUUCCCUCCUGCCGGGCAUACCCGGGUCCUGCUGAAGUGGCAGAUUCCCGGGGCGGGGCGGGGCGGGGUGGGGGGGCCGCCCUCCCCACGGGCAGCAGGCAGCAGGGCAGCAAGGGCAGCAAGGGCACACCCCACUGCAGGAGGACGCCCGGAGCCUGGCUCGCCCGGGCGAGUCCCAACGGCUCCCCCAGUUGGCUCUGAGGCCGCCCUGCCCCCACCCAGGGCACGGGACCCCCACACGGCACCCCCACUCUGCACCCCACCUGACACCAGGAGUCGGGCUUGGUGCUCCCGGCACCUCUGGGGGGUGGGGUCACCUGGGGACACGGCACCCAGGGCCAGAGGCAUGUCCGCCACGGUCCACUGAGCAGGACGCCUGCCCCCGAGCCCUGAGGUCCCCCACUACUUUGGGAGGGUCCCAGAGCCGGAUCCCACCUUGGCUUUUUUUUUCUUUUUUGCCAGAGCACUGCUCAGCUCUGGCUUAUGGCGGUGUGGGGGAUUGAACCUGGGAUUUGAGAGCCUCAGGCAUGAAAAUCUCUGCAUAACCAUUAUGCUGUCUCCCCACUCCCGCCUUGGCUUUUUAAAGCUUUCCCUUUUUUUUUUUUUUUUUUUUUGUUAACGUGUGAGAGAGAGACAGACAGGGAGACAGAUAAAUACCUAUGCAUCUGUAGGUAGAGUCCAGAGCCUGCUGAGCCCUGGCUGAGGGUAGUGCUGGGGAUUGAACCUGGGACCUCAGAGCCUCAGGUGAGGGGGGUCUUGAGCUGUCUCCUUGGCCCCCUGCCUGGGGUCCCCCAGCCUGCCCCCCUCCUGUGCCCGCUGCCCUGUGCCUUCACUGACCCCAGACCACUCAGUGGGGCGUCUGGGAGCGAGCCCCCUUCCCUGCCCCUGGGCGCCAGCUGCCCUACCCCUCUCCUCUGCUCUGAGUAGCCCCUGUUUUCUCCUGUCCUGGAGCCGGGGGACAGGAAGGUGUGGGGGCCCAUGAGGGGACAGGUAGACCUGGAGGCAUCUGGAUCCUCAUGCAUCUUCCUCCCCCUCCGGCAUGUGCACGUGCCUCGCAAGGUGAGCCCCCGGGGACAGCCAGGGCCGGAGGGUCUGGAUGCCCAGCCAAGUGAAUAGCCCGGUUUUGAGCCCUGGCACCACACGGGAGUCCUGCAGUACAGGGGAAGCUCCACAGCUGUGGUCUGUGUCUGUCCAUCUGUAGAUCCAAAAUGAAAAAACGGAGAGUCCGUCCCAGGGCGGUGGGGGCACAUCCACACACA